AAUUGACAAAAAAGAUUGCUGCUGGAUUAUUUAUAUUAAUGAACCAGACAGAAACUUGAUACAAAAUUCACACUAGAAUAAGAAACAGAACUUAGUAAUGCAGAAGUAAUCAUGUACAACCAUUUUUCUUCCUACAAAAUAAUAAAAAAAAAUGUUAUGUAGUGGUGUGCUAUCUUAUAUUAUCAAAGAGAAAAAAAAAACAGACAAAAUAGACACAAUCAAAAAUAAAAUAACUAAACAAAAAUGCAAGAAAUACUUCCAUAGUAUUUAUUUGGAAGGAGUUUAUUGAAGCAUGGUAUAUUAUUUCCUCCUGUAUGUUUACAUGUUUGACCACACAACAAGAUACAUCUGUUUUCCAUCUUAGAUAAUCCCUACAUAUUUGCAUUUUUAUUAAAACCAAACAGUUACACCUAUGUAAACGACUUUGCUGCUCUAAAUAUCUCAUCAUAAAAUUUAAAAACAAAAAUCAGUAUUUAUGCUUAAGUUUAUUGUACGUUGCUCCUAACAGAUAUUUACUUAUGAAAAUAUACCAUAAAAUUGGCAAAAGAAAACAAUGAAAUAAACACUGCAGUCUCUGGUAGAGAGUUGUCACACAUUUAUUUUUAAUUUUAUAAUGCAGGAGAAUAUGUAUUUAUCUAAAAAAAAAAAAAAAAAAAAAAAAACACCACAUGAAUGUUUUCCAUAAAUUAUCCCAAA
rnacentral:lncRNA from 1 species